ensembl:lncRNA
AGGCCCCUCCAUCUGAACUUCCAGCUUAGUUUUCUGAGCAUGGAGGCUGAGGAACUCAAGUGAGUGGGUGUUCGCAGCCUGGCAGCACAUUGGAAUCACCUGGGGUGCUUUGAAAACUACAGCUGUUCGGGCCAGCACAGGCUAAUUAAAUUAGCAUUUUGAGGGAGGGGGUGCCCUGAUGACAGCAUGUUUCAAAGCCUCUUCAGGUGAUCAUAGUCGGCAUCAGGGUGAAGAGCCAUUGGCCUACGGCAGUGGUCCUCAGUCACCUGGUGAGCUUGUUAAACCACAGUUUGCGGGGCCCCAUCCCACACUUUCUCAUUCAACGGGUCGGGGGUGGGGUGGAGUCUGAGAAUCUGCAUUUCUACCCAGCAACCAGGUGCUGCUGCUCCUGGGCUCCCACUGAGGACCACUGGCUCAGCCCAAGUCUCCUUCAAAGCUAGUGCCAGUGAGCCCAGGUUUGGGAUCCCUCCCAGCCUUGGAUCCUGGCGUGGCAGAUCCAGCAUCUGGUUCUAGCUCUGCUACCAUCCAAUCCUGGACUGCUCACAUCCUUCUCUGGGCCUCGGACAACACUCUCUCUCAAGUGCCUUUUAAGCUCUCAGAAUCUUUGGAAAGUCAUGGAUCAGCUUCCGGGUAUAAGAGGGAGCCGGGGUCCAGCCCCAAGCGAUUUAGCUGGUACAGCGAAAAGAGGAGAGUCGUCGGCAUGAGACCUAGUUUAAAAUCCCAUCUCCGCCACGUUUUGGCUGCCACUGCUGUUCACACCUGUAACAGGUGAUUGACCAUCUGUACUUGCCGGGGUUUUUGUGUGGCUUUGGUGAGAGUCGAUGCUGGGCAUCCCUUGGGAGCUCCACGAAUAUUUUAGUCCUGCCUGUUGGGAUUCCUCUCUCAGAGACCUCGGACGAUCUCAAGGUCUUCCCUGUGCCAUUCGGGACUGGGUUAAAACAGUUUGGAGAGCAUAUGUUGGCUGGGACAGGCAGCCAGCCCCCUUGAUGGAGAACAGAUGACUGCCCCUCGAACACCUGGAGAUAAAGCCCCAAACCUUUGGCUGCAGAACCUCAGAACAAGCACGCUGCUCUGCCGGCAGCCGGGCUCUGGGUUUUGGCCAGUCUCAAUCAGUAAAGAAAAGGUCAGAAGCCCUCAGGAUCAAAGUCAGCCACUCCACAGACCUCCCUGGCAGGUUUGUCCUCGGAUUGUUUCACAUCUUAGAGCUUUUGAUCUUCAUUUCUUCCCGAGCCUGCAACUGGGAGCAUGGAUGUCUGCAGGCUGUUGGAGGGUGAGGGGCUAAAGCUCUUCUCUCACCCACUCUGCCUCUCCCUGCCAGCUUUGAGCAGCAGCAGACAGCGUGACAAAUGGCUCAUCAGCAUGUGUCCCUGUCAAUGUAGCCAUUCUGCUACGGCUGGACACCUAUGUGGCUUCAGUCAUAAGUAACAUUGUGAUGACCACUGCAAGAGACCCCAGAAACCAUUGAGGGAAGUUGGCAAAGACAGUGGCCGUGCUCGCUCCACAGAUGAGAUUUCCCAGGAAGGAAAGUUGAGCAAUUUAAAGCAAAACUGAAAACAUUGAAGGAAGUCUUCCUCAUCAGUAUCUCUCAUCCUUCCUUGCCUUAGCAAACAGACCACACUGAUGAGACCCUUUCUCAUGCAUCAGAGUCUAUAUCAGAGCCACCAUUUUUGCCCUACAUUGCUGUGAUUGCUGGAGCCUUUGAUAUGAAAGCUACUUCUGGAGUCGGGGCCAGCGGUUGAGAAGCCAGCAAAAUCUCCUGACGUCCCUCAAGAAGGUCACCACCUCCUCGUGCCUCACAUGCUUCAACAGGAGACAGAGAUAAAUUUCAGCUCUGGCUGAGUGUCAGCAUCCUUACAGAGACCAGAGAGGGGCAGUCUGCGGUGCGGGCAGCUUCUUUAGUUAUUUUGGUGAUUAUAUUUUCAGUUCAGUAAAUUGACUUGUUCUAUUUGGUUCUUUUCCAAAUCUGCCGUGUCACUGUUUAUAAGGUCUAGUUCUUUGCCAGUUUUUUCAAGUCUGACUUUUACCUCUUUGAACACAGUAGGUAUAGUUAGUUCAUGGUCCUCUACCCAGAGUGCCUGUUGAUUUGUAUCUCUUCUCUGUUUUUUCCUACCCGUUUUCACUCAUGGGGUCUUGUCUCCUGUCUGCUUGGUUGUCUCUGAGUAUCGGCUACUGUGUUUGAAAAAUUAUUUGUAGGAAUAAUUGGAGGCAUAGAAUGACGCUGUCUUCCUCUAAGGAGGAUUUUAAAUUUCUUUUGCAGUUGGCUGGGAGCUCUAGAAUCUGAGAUAAGCUUGACCCAAGGGAGGUCCCUGGGCUCCUCAAAAGCCUCGAAGCAGGUGGCAGUCCUUGCAACAGCCACUUUGCUUCUGGUCCACCCCAAACCAGGAGAUGGAGCCCUGCAGGCUUUGUGAUUUUUUUUCUACCUUUUUUCCCCUGAACUUUCUAAAAUGUCUAUAUAAUGAUCUUAGAAUAUUGUUUUAAAUUAGAAUAAAUAAUCAUGCAAACAAAGAAAUGUUAAGGGAGAGAUCGUUCAGUCUCUGCGUGUCUGCGUGUGAAAGUGCCCAAUUCUAGAGGAGAGGACGGUCAUCUGAAGGUCGGUAGAUACAGGGGUGGAUCAGCACUUGCCUGAAGAAGGCAAAGAUGCUACAGGAGGCCCAUGUCUACUUGAACCCAGAACAGAAACCACAGAGGUUGCAGCUCCCUCCUCCCAGUUGGUGACCUCAAGGCCUCCAGGAAAUUAUGUAUAAGGGAUGUGAGUCUCUCCCCUCCUCCUCCCCACAAAGUCCCACAAACAGCAGACAUCUCUACUCAAUCACAGCACUUGAUUUUGAUCUUCCCCAUGUUAGCAAAACUUUAAAAAAUUAUUUUCCAGCAAAUGACCAGAUAAUAUGCAAUGCUUUGAAUGCACCAUGAUUUAUCUGAUCAUUACAAUGGUGGGUAUUUAGGCUGUUUACAUUUCCCCCUUGUUAGGAAAUAUUUGUAAUGAACAUCUUUGUGCCUAGCUCUUUGCCAACAUUUUGAAUUAUUUCUUUGGAGAUAGAUUCCUAACAAUGGGUAAAGGAUGUGAACAUCUGUCAGGUUUUUGAUAUCUAUUGCCAAAUUACUUUCUAGAAAAUGUAUUCAAUUAAUAUGCUCACCAGGAGCAUACAAGAGAGCCUGUCUAUCCCUUGCCACCACCAGGUACAUCAUUAAGUUUUGGCUGAUUUGGUAAGUGGAAAAUGGUAUCCCCUUGUUAUUUAACU